UGCUUGGGUAGCUCAGUUGGUAGAGCACUUGCCCGCAAAAGGCAAAGGUCCCGAGUUCGAGCCUCGGUCCGGCAU
rnacentral:tRNA from 1 species